rnacentral:rRNA from 1 species
CCUACGGGUGGCAGCAGUGAGGAAUAUUGGUCAAUGGGCGAGAGCCUGAACCAGCCAAGUCGCGUGAGGGAGUACUGCCCUAUGGGUUGUAAACCUCUUUUGUCGGGGAGCAAAAGCCGGACGUGUCCGGCUGUGAGAGUACCCGAAGAAAAAGCAUCGGCUAACUCCGUGCCAGCAGCCGCGGUAAUACGGAGGAUGCGAGCGUUAUCCGGAUUUAUUGGGUUUAAAGGGUGCGCAGGCGGAUUUUUAAGUCAGCGGUCAAAUCGUGGGGCUCAACCCCAUCCAGCCGUUGAAACUGGGGAGCUUGAGUGCACGGAAGGCAGGCGGAAUUCGUGGUGUAGCGGUGAAAUGCUUAGAGAUCACGAAGAACCCCGAUUGCGAAGGCAGCCUGCCGCGGCGUUACUGACGCUGAAGCUCGAAAGCGCGGGUAUCGAACAGGAUUAGAUACCCUGGUAGUC